rnacentral:rRNA from 1 species
UUACACCGGUUCUCGUUAGAUCACCGAAGUCAAGCAUCAUUGGGCGCGGUCAGCACUUGGGUGAGUGACCACCUGGGAACACCACGUGCCGUU